ACGGUCCUAAGGUAGCGAAAUUCCUUGUCGGGUAAGUUCCGACCUGCACGAAUGGCAUAAUGAUGGCCAGGCUGUCUCCACCCGAGACUCAGUGAAAUUGAAAUCGCCGUGAAGAUGCGGUGUACCCGCGGCUAGACGGAAAGACCCCGUGAACCUUUACUAUAGCUUGACACUGAACAUUGAAUUUUGAUGUGUAGGAUAGGUGGGAGACUUUGAAGUAGUCACGCCAGUGAUUAUGGAGUCGUCCUUGAAAUACCACCCUUUAACGUUUGAUGUUCUAACGAAGAUUACGAAACGUGGUCUCGGACAGUGUCUGGUGGGUAGUUUGACUGGGGCGGUCUCCUCCCAAAGAGUAACGGAGGAGCACGAAGGUUUGCUAAUGACGGUCGGACAUCGUCAGGUUAGUGCAAUGGUAUAAGCAAGCUUAACUGCGAGACAGACAAGUCGAGCAGGUACGAAAGUAGGUCAUAGUGAUCCGGUGGUUCUGAAUGGAAGGGCCAUCGCUCAACGGAUAAAAGGUACUCCGGGGAUAACAGGCUGAUACCGCCCAAGAGUUCAUAUCGACGGCGGUGUUUGGCACCUCGAUGUCGGCUCAUCACAUCCUGGGGCUGAAGUAGGUCCCAAGGGUAUGGCUGUUCGCCAUUUAAAGUGGUACGCGAGCUGGGUUUAGAACGUCGUGAGACAGUUCGGUCCCUAUCUGCCGUGGGCGUUGGAGAAUUGAUUGGGGCUGCUCCUAGUACGAGAGGACCGGAGUGGACGCACCACUGGUGUUCCGGUUGUGUCGCCAGACGCAUUGCCGGGUAGCUAAGUGCGGAAGAGAUAAGUGCUGAAAGCAUCUAAGCACGAAACUUGCCAAGAGAUGAGUUCUCCCAGAUUACAAAUCUGUAAGGGUUGUUUAAGACUAAGACGUAGAUAGGUGCGGUGUGUAAGUGUAGUGAUACAUUGAGCUAACGCAUACUAAUUGCCCGAGAGGCUUAGCCAU
rnacentral:rRNA from 1 species